rnacentral:rRNA from 1 species
GACGAACGCUGGCGGCGUGCUUAACACAUGCAAGUCGAACGGAAAGGCCCUGCUUUUGUGGGGUGCUCGAGUGGCGAACGGGUGAGUAACACGUGAGUAACCUGCCCUUGACUUUGGGAUAACUUCAGGAAACUGGGGCUAAUACCGGAUAGGAGCUCCUGCUGCAUGGUGGGGGUUGGAAAGUUUCGGCGGUUGGGGAUGGACUCGCGGCUUAUCAGCUUGUUGGUGGGGUAGUGGCUUACCAAGGCUUUAACGGGUAGCCGGCCUGAGAGGGUGACCGGCCACAUUGGGACUGAGAUACGGCCCAGACUCCUACGGGAGGCAGCAGUGGGGAAUAUUGCACAAUGGGCGGAAGCCUGAUGCAGCCACGCCGCGUGCGGGAUGACGGCCUUCGGGUUGUAAACCGCUUUCGCCUGUGACGAAGCGUGAGUGACGGUAAUGGGUAAAGAAGCACCGGCUAACUACGUG